rnacentral:misc_RNA from 1 species
UUUUGCAUCUCCUUCUAUAAUGUGAGCACCCAAAAUGCCCAGAUCCAAAUUCCAUGGCAUUCGCAAGUGCAUCUUCACUGUGAUUUGUUGGGAUCUCAAUUCUAGUGUCCAUUAUCUUUGAAGUUUGACCAUUCUGCUCCAUCUUCCUACUCAACUUUCUACAUUUGCUAAGAUCGGAUUGGGGCUUAAUUCUAGCCAUUUCUAUAUCUUGACAAUUUAUCUCCUCCAUUUUCCUCACUAACUUGGAAAUGAGCACACAUAACAGAAAGAUGAAAGGUAGAAGGGUCAUUUUAAUGGGAUUAUCUAAAUUUCG